rnacentral:rRNA from 1 species
UACGGAGGGGGCUAGCGUUGUUCGGAAUUACUGGGCGUAAAGCGCACGUAGGCGGCUUUGCAAGUUAGAGGUGAAAGCCCGGGGCUCAACUCCGGAAUUGCCUUUAAAACUGCAUCGCUAGAAUUGUGGAGAGGUAAGUGGAAUUCCGAGUGUAGAGGUGAAAUUCGUAGAUAUUCGGAAGAACACCAGUGGCGAAGGCGACUUACUGGACACAUAUUGACGCUGAGGCGCGAAAGCGUGGGGAGCAAACAGG